AUGGCGCUUCAGCACUGCUGGAGAAAGUGUCCAGCCAUCGAGGGGGACUAUGUUGAGAAAUAAAUCAUCAGAAGUCUUGCACUAUGCUUUGUUUUUCUGAGGCUCAAGACUUUUCAUACACCCCUCGUAUAUCCAACAAAGAAGUGUGUAUAUGUAU